rnacentral:rRNA from 1 species
GAUGAUCGCUGGCGGCGUGCCUAAUACAUGCAAGUCGAGCGAACAGACGAGGAGCUUGCUCCUCUGACGUUAGCGGCGGACGGGUGAGUAACACGUGGAUAACCUACCUAUAAGACUGGGAUAACUUCGGGAAACCGGAGCUAAUACCGGAUAAUAUAUUGAACCGCAUGGUUCAAUAGUGAAAGACGGUUUUGCUGUCACUUAUAGAUGGAUCCGCGCCGCAUUAGCUAGUUGGUAAGGUAACGGCUUACCAAGGCAACGAUGCGUAGCCGACCUGAGAGGGUGAUCGGCCACACUGGAACUGAGACACGGUCCAGACUCCUACGGGAGGCAGCAGUAGGGAAUCUUCCGCAAAGGGCGAAAGCAUGACGGAGCAACGCCGCGUGAGUGAUGAAGGUCUUCGGAUCGUAAAACUCUGUUAUUAGGGAAGAACAAAUGUGUAAGGAACUAUGCACGUCUUGACGGUACCUAAUCAGAAAGCCACGGCUAACUACGUG